rnacentral:rRNA from 1 species
GACGAACGCUGGCGGCGUGCUUAACACAUGCAAGUCGAGCGGUAAGGCCCUUCGGGUUACACGAGCGGCGAACGGGUGAGUAACACGUGAGUAAUCUGCCCAUCACUUCGGGAUAACUCCGGGAAACCGGUGCUAAUACCGAAUAUGACCACUUCAGGCAUCUGAUGGUGGUGGAAAGUUCCGGCGGUGAUGGAUGAGCUCGCGGCCUAUCAGCUUGUUGGUGGGGUAGUGGCCUACCAAGGCUUCGACGGGUAGCCGGCCUGAGAGGGUGACCGGCCACACUGGGACUGAGACACGGCCCAGACUCCUACGGGAGGAAGCAGUGGGGAAUAUUGGACAAUGGGCGACAGCCUGAUCCAGCAACGCCGCGUGAGGGAUGACGGCCUUCGGGUUGUAAACCUCUUUCAGCAGGGACGAAGCGCAAGUGACGGUACCUGCAGAAGAAGCACCGGCCAACUACGUG